GUGGUGUCUCAUUGUGUUUUAAUUUGCAUUUCCCUAAUGACUGAUGAUUCUGAACAUCAUUUCAUGUGUUUAUUAGACAUUCAUAUAUCUUUUUGGUUUCCUUAUUACUGAGAUAACACUGUGGAUUCCUGGCCUCUGUGUUUUGGAGAAAUGGAAAUUG